rnacentral:rRNA from 1 species
UACAGAGGUCCCAAGCGUUGUUCGGAUUCACUGGGCGUAAAGGGUGCGUAGGUGGCGAGGUAAGUUUGAUGUGAAAUCUCCGGGCUUAACCCGGAAAUGGCAUUGAAUACUAUCUGGCUCGAGGGUUGGAGGGGGGACUGGAAUUCUCGGUGUAGCAGUGAAGUGCGUAGAUAUCGAGAGGAACACCGGUGGCGAAGGCGAGUCCCUGGACAACACCUGACACUGAGGCACGAAAGCUAGGGGAGCAAACAGG